GUAUGGUAGUCAGCAAACAAGACUUACUCACUGCUUGUUGAUCAACUGAAACAGGAAGUAGAGGUGAGCCCAAAGAAGGUUCUCCAAAUGCCUUCCAAUUUCAGAUGGCUUGAAUUCAGCUCCAACUGGGUUUCUGUGAGCUUCAUUAUGAAUCACAUGCAAGGGGAUACUGAGAAGUCAAUGGGCACGGAAGAUGUUCAAGCACCUUGCAGGACAAGCCUGGGGAAUCCAUUCAUAUCAUCUCUGUUGAUAAAGGCGCAGUGCAUGCUGAUGCAAGAUUUAAAGGGGCAGAACAGGAUAAAGGAUCUCUAAGGAACAGCAGAAUGGGGAAGCCAACUCAUCCCCAGACUAUAAAGUAAAUGAAUAAUUUCACUGGCAAUUGUAACACUCCAUUUAUUAAACAAGCUGUGUUAAUGGCACAGUACAGAGCAGCACAUGGUCAGUGGUGAAUGGCACUUAGUCCCUUAUAGGCUCAGGCCUGUUUGGUUUUCUCCUAGUGGAGCCAUAGACUGUAACUGUUCUCUGUUUGCUAUAAAAAGUGGAUUUAAAAUGGCAGGUAUUAUCAAAUAUACUGAAUAAAGGAAUAUAUUGCAUGAAGACGCACCAUUCAUGGCACUUCUUGUGAAUGCAGAACAGCUCAGCUUUGCUUGGCAAUUCUCUCCCCACCACAUUAAAAGGAGGCACUCUCAUACCACAAAUCAACAAUUAAGCAAUUGUAAUAGAAGGUAUCCAGCCUCUUGGAAUACUAACUCUGAAAUUUAUGACUGUUUAUAACCACCCUCUCCCAAUGCUUUUAGAAAGACCUUCCCCCAAGCAACUUGUUAACAGGUAGUGAUUACAGGGUUAUAAAAAUACUUCACAGUUGAUAUGGCAUUACCAUUAAAAUAUCAGAUAGCUGUGAGACAGCUGCCAGAGAGAUAGCACAAGAACAAAGGUGAGAAGUGUAAAUAACCCAGAAAGAACAAGUAGUCUGAUUCAUGUAUCCAGCACGGGUGUUGAGAGACUGAAUUAAGAGCAGCAUUUGUCCAGCACUGAACUCAGAAACCAGAGGCUGAGGACAAUGAGAAGUAGAAAACAACCCUAGUUAUUUUGGCAAGAAGUUGGAGGUAAACCCAACAACAUAGUGAUUGGCAGGUUCACAUUACCUCAGAGGGCAGGAGCACACAUAAAAUGACCUGAAACCAGACAAUUCCCCUGCCCCGCUUCACAGUCUCUCUACCAUGGCAGCAUAAAACUCCUUCAGAAACAACCAGGGAGGUGUUGGAUUUGCUACUGCACAGUGGAAUUUGCUACUCGUUCAACCAGCAUUAGUUCUGGAGCGGAUGUGCCUUUGGAGAUCCAGAGAAGCUGCUCUCUUGUUCCCUCUCUCCCUGGCUGCUCCCUCAGAAUUGAAGAGUGCUCCAGUUCCCCGUGUAGAAAGCUGCAGGUAUGCUGCUCUCCCCUAUGUGCAGGUUUGGCUUCUAAUGGGGCAUGCUGUGUUAGGUUUAUGCAGAAUAUUCCUUCUUGACUAUAGUCUGACCACUUCAGUAAUUUAGCUGCUGCCUUCACUGUAGCUCUGCACUCAGCAUUAAGCCGAAGAAAAUAGUUUCUGAGGGUGGAUGACCUCAAAGUGCACUAUGAGUGUCCAGUAAAGAGCUGUGCACCUAGGCUAUGUCUACAUUGGCAUGAUUUUGCGCAAGAACUCUUUUGCAGAAGAGUUCUUGUGCAAAAACUCUUCCAGAAGAGAGUGUCUA